rnacentral:rRNA from 1 species
GACGAACGCUGGCGGCGUGCCUAAUACAUGCAAGUAGAACGCACAGUUUAUACCGUAACUUGCUACACCAUAAACUGUGAGUUGCGAACGGGUGAGUAACGCGUAGGUAACCUGCCUGGUAGCGGGGGAUAACUAUUGGAAACGAUAGCUAAUACCGCAUAAUAUUGAUUAUUGCAUGAUAAUUGAUUGAAAGAUGCUAUUGCAUCACUACCAGAUGGACCUGCGUUGUAUUAGCUAGUAGGUGAGGUAACGGCUCACCUAGGCGACGAUACAUAGCCGACCUGAGAGGGUGAUCGGCCACACUGGGACUGAGACACGGCCCAGACUCCUACGGGAGGCAGCAGUAGGGAAUCUUCGGCAAUGGACGAAAGUCUGACCGAGCAACGCCGCGUGAGUGAAGAAGGUUUUCGGAUCGUAAAGCUCUGUUGUAAGAGAAGAACGGGUGUGAGAGUGGAAAGUUCACACUGUGACGGUAUCUUACCAGAAAGGGACGGCUAACUACGUG